GUUCUCGACGCAUAAACGUUGUGUGAUGUGGUUCAGUAAGAAAACAUCCGCCAUGACACUUAUUGCACCGAUAACUCGAUGAUGUUAGGGUGACGCACCGAUAAGGUUAGAGGCCCGAUAGCUGGCUUGUGAGGGGCCCUCGCCCUGCAGAGGAAUGUGCUGAGAUAUCGUGCCGAUACACCACUCUGCCCAGGGUGUAGUGGGGUGCCCUACAUACCCCAGCAAACUCUGGCACAACCCUUUAGCAAUGGCCAACUUGUUUGCGGUAAACCCAGCAGUCGCCAACCUAUCACAGAGCAGAGAGCAUCCUAGUUAUUUAUAGCAUGGCUCGUGGGGAGACUUGACAUUAAAAUGGUCAGCAACUGAUUCCAUUGCGAGACAAACAUCUUGAGCUGAACACGCUGCACACACUUCACGCUUCACUGCACACAGGUUGCAGACACACCAGAGAAAGCUGUCGCACUAGGCUGGGAAUGGAGGGAAGGGCGAAUAAACACGACAGAGGCCAGCCAGCAAACCAGCCGAGAAGUUCAAACUGCAGGGUCGAAAUGAGUCUAACCAAG